CGGCUAGCGGCGGGACGACGCGGCUGACGUCCAGAUCUGGGUACAAGGCAUGGACGACAUCCCGACCGUCCUCGAACCCUACCCGGUACGAGGCGAAGCCCGACUCGAGCAUCUCCUCCCGAUAUCGGUCGGAGGCCCAGAAGUCUUCCACCGCCCGAUCGGCCGACUCUUUCGCCGACCUUGCCUCGUCCUCCGCACGGGCGAGCGACUCCCUUGCCGACUCCGCCUCAACCUUUGCC
rnacentral:lncRNA from 1 species